GGAACCAGAGACAGUCCCAGAUAAAUGGGUUAUUCUACAUCAUCAGUUUGCAAGGACAGAUGCUGUAAAGCAGAUAUAACUUUAGAGCUCUCUUGUGUUCAUUUCCUCCAGAUUACAGUGACACAUAAAGAUAAGGUUUGGUUUCAAGGGAGCUGUGUCUGGCUGGACCUGCACCAGCUGCCCAAUGCACUUACUUAAGAGUAAUGUGGUCUAGAUUCAUUUCUCAGAGGCUCAUUUCCCACUGCCGUUUUAUGUGCAUACCACUGGAGUCCUGUGCAGAAUCACCAAGGACACUGAGACUACCAAAACCAAAGUGCAAAAGCUGGCAGAUGGACCUGUACCAUAUCAGCAUUGCUUUGUGUCAUGCUUUCAAGAAUGAUAACAGAACCAACAAAAUUAUUUUAUUUUCUGCUCUGUGCACACUGCAGAGAAAUUUCAGACGCUUUUUGGAAACAAGCCAGGCUUGCUGAAUCUUUGGUAGGGAUGUUUUGAGACAGAAAACAGAAACUCAUGCUUGUGUAGUCUACGGACGCUUAGGGAUAAAAGAUGACUCCUAUCACAUACAUCAACCAAGAAACCCAUCUGGGGCUGGAUAUAGUGAAGAUUUUAGUUACAAAUGCCGGCCUUUACAGGUAACCUAAAGAUUCAAACAAAGCUGAGACCCCCUCAAACAUAACCUCACAUUCAGUAAAACAAUUCACAAUUAUAACAUCCACAGAAUCAGCACAAGUCUUUUCUGGGAUUUUAUUUUUACUGAGAUACGGAGAACGAUUUCACAGUCUUAUUUGUGCCUAACAUAUGGAAUGAACCUGCCAUCAUUUUGGGGUGUACAUAUAUACACACACAAACACACACACGUGAUUGUACUGUCCUUCUGAAAUGGAUAUCUGACCCAGAAAUAUGAGGUACAUUAAAAUUCAAGUUUAAAAACUUGCACUUAA